CGGUGAUGAGGGGCUUGCUCCUCUGAUCAGUGGCGAACGGGUGAGUAACACGUGAGUAACCUGCCCUUCACUCUGGGAUAACGCUGGGAAACUGGUGCUAAUACUGGAUAUGACCUGCUCGGGCAUCCGAUGUGGGUGGAAAGAUUUAUUGGUGGGGGAUGGACUCGCGGCCUAUCAGCUUGUUGGUGAGGUAAUGGCUCACCAAGGCGACGACGGGUAGCCGGCCUGAGAGGGCGAUCGGCCACACUGGGACUGAGACACGGCCCAGACUCCUACGGGAGGCAGCAGUGGGGAAUAUUGCACAAUGGGCGAAAGCCUGAUGCAGCGACGCCGCGUGAGGGAUGAAGGCCUUCGGGUUGUAAACCUCUUUCAGCAGGGAAGAAGCGUCCGGGUUUUCUUGGGUGUGACGGUACCUGCAGAAGAAGCACCGGCUAACUACGUGCCAGCAGCCGCGGUAAUACGUAGGGUGCAAGCGUUGUCCGGAAUUAUUGGGCGUAAAGAGCUUGUAGGCGGUUUGUCGCGUCUGCUGUGAAAUUUCGGGGCUCAACCCCGAACUUGCAGUGGGUACGGGCAGACUAGAGUGUGGUAGGGGAGACUGGAAUUCCUGGUGUAGCGGUGAAAUGCGCAGAUAUCAGGAGGAACACCGAUGGCGAAGGCAGGUCUCUGGGUCACUACUGACGCUGAGAAGCGAAAGCAUGGGGAGCGAACAGGAUUAGAUACCCUGGUAGUCCAUGCCGUAAACGUUGGGAACUAGGUGUGGGCCUCAUUCCACGAGGUCCGUGCCGCAGCUAACGCAUUAAGUUCCCCGCCUGGGGAGUACGGCCGCAAGGCUAAAACUC
rnacentral:rRNA from 1 species